AACGCACAUUGCGCCUCCUGCGAGGGAGGCAUGCCUGUCUGAGCGUCGAUUAAACCAUAAAUCCUAAGAUUUGUCUUGGGCCUCGCCCUCGGGCGUCGCCUCAAAGCCAGUGACCUGGAGCGGAUGAGAUUCCUCGUGAACUGGCCGCUUUGGUGAAACUUCAGACUUUGGACCUCAGAUCAGGUAGGACUACCGCCUGAACUUAA
rnacentral:misc_RNA from 1 species